CCUACGGGAGGCAGCAGUGAGGAAUAUUGGUCAAUGGCCGGAAGGCUGAACCAGCCAUGCCGCGUGAAGGUCAGUGCCCUAUGGGCGUUAAACUUCUUUUGUGCGGGAGCAAUAAUGGUCACGUGUGGCCAGACGAGAGUACCGUACGAAUAAGCAUCGGCUAACUCCGUGCCAGCAGCCGCGGUAAUACGGGGGGUGCAAGCGUUAUCCGGAAUUACUGGGCGUAAAGGGCGCGUAGGUGGGCGCUUAAGUCAGGUGUGAAAACUCCGGGCUCAACCUGGAGACUGCACUUGAAACUGGGUGUCUUGAGGGCAGGAGAGGAAAGUGGAAUUCCUAGUGUAGCGGUGAAAUGCGUAGAUAUUAGGAGGAACACCAGUGGCGAAGGCGGCCUGCUGGGCUUUAACUGACGCUCAGGCACGAAAGCAUGGGUAGCAAACAGGAUUAGAUACCCUUGUAGUC
rnacentral:rRNA from 1 species